rfam:Triticum aestivum genome assembly, contig: Triticum_aestivum_CS42_TGACv1_scaffold_591779_7BS
AGGAGCCGUGCGAGAUGAAAGUCUCAUCCAUGGUUUUGCAUGAGAGAAAGAAGUGAGGAAUCCGCUUUUCGACUCUGAC